rnacentral:rRNA from 1 species
GAUGAACGCUGGCGGCGUGCCUAAUACAUGCAAGUCGAGCGAACAGACGAGGAGCUUGCUCCUCUGACGUUAGCGGCGGACGGGUGAGUAACACGUGGAUAACCUACCUAUAAGACUGGGAUAACUUCGGGAAACCGGAGCUAAUACCGGAUAAUAUAUUGAACCGCAUGGUUCAAUAGUGAAAGACGGUUUUGCUGUCACUUAUAGAUGGAUCCGCGCCGCAUUAGCUAGUUGGUAAGGUAACAGCUUACCAAGGCAACGAUGCGUAGCCGACCUGAGAGGGUGAUAGGCCACACUGGAACUGAAACACGGUCCAGACUCCUACGGGAGGCAGCAGUAGGGAAUCUUCCGCAAUGGGCGAAAGCCUGACGGAGCAACGCCGCGUGAGUGAUGAAGGUCUUCGGAUCGUAAAACUCUGUUAUUAGGGAAGAACAAAUGUGUAAGUAACUAUGCACGUCUUGACGGUACCUAAUCAGAAAGCCACGGCUAACUACGUG